GGUGCGAGAGCCAAGUGGUCCAAGGCGAUGGUCUGCAAAACCAUUAUCCGCGGGUUCGAAUCCCGCUCGCACCUCCA
rnacentral:tRNA from 1 species